rnacentral:rRNA from 1 species
CUGCCGGCGACCGGCGCGACGGGUGAGUAACACGUAUCGACAACCUCGUCCUUACAGGGGGAUAACCGGAAGAAAUUCCGACUAAUACCGCAUAAUACUUUCCGGAGACAUCUCCGGAGAUUCAAAGGAAGUGAUUCCGGCAAAGGAUGGGCAUGCGUCGCAUUAGCUAGUCGGCGGGGUAACGGCCCACCGAGGCGACGAUGCGUAGGGGUUCUGAGAGGAAGGUCCCCCACACUGGUACUGAGACACGGACCAGACUCCUACGGGAGGCAGCAG